rnacentral:lncRNA from 1 species
CUUUCAUCUCAAAAAGCAGCAGCUUGGUUUCCAAAAUAAGCAGCUGGCCUUCCAACUGGGCUAAACCCUAUGAUAUUCUGCACUGGAAGAUACCCUGUAGAACAGCUCUGGAUUAGGGUCACAGACUGCUGCUACUCUGCCACUGGCAGCUACCAGAAAGGCAGUCUUCAGACCAACAGGCUGCCCUGCAACAAAGACUCUCAUUACAGAGCUUUCCAGCUAGCACCAGGAAGAUAGCAACAUAGAAACUCUUAAUACAGAUACUAAGUACACAGAAGUUAGCUAUCCACUUCAGGGAAAGAAAAAAUCAGCGUGCUAGGAAGCAGCAUUUCACUGAGCAUGGGCCAUCUUGCUGCUUUUUUACACCAGUUUUGCACAUGAGUGUAAAGGUAAGUAGGUAUCUGAAGACAACACAUCACGCUGCUUGCACCUAGAGAGAUAGCCUUUGUUGUCUGCUGGUUUUGCAAUGACUGAUCGCAUGCUGCAAGGAGCACUGCCUUGUUUCGCAACCGCUGCAUCACAUCUUCUCAAGUUUUCACGUCUCAGAAGCACGGUAUCACCGGUCCCAUCUUUCUUGCUCAAGACAAGCCAUGAUUAAACGGUGCUAACAACCUGGUUACUACUUUGUACCAUAACUGUACCACUUCUAAUAACGCUGGGCACCAAAACACGGUAAUGGAAUGUUUCAACCAUCCGCAUCUUGAUUCAAACCAGUACAACGCAGAAGAAACUGGUCUUGAGUGAGAGGAGGAGACAGAAGAGGAAAUCUUUCAACGCUACUUCCUCUGUACAUAACUAUUAAUGUUAAAAUCCCAGUUAAGAGCCGUUCAGAGUACGGUGGCUAAAACUGGACAAAGACAGCUGUCAUAGCAACUGAAAUAGAUGCAAGCACAAUAUUUAACCUUCUUCAUUGGUUAAAGUGCUACUAAUAGUGAACACAGAAAGGAUUUAGAAACGGGGGUUGUAAGAUUGUCACUGGUUAACAGGAAGUGUAUGCCUUUGCACACCUACCCACCUAAAUGUCACAUCCACACAUUUCAGUCUCAGAUUUCUUACGCAGACUUUCUAGCAAAAUUCCUUCAUUAAAUAAGCCAUAUUUCGAAGAAUUUCCCCAUAGAAAUAGAACAUGUGUAUGCAAUAAAGAGGGAAAUAAGUAGAGCCUUGAAUCACAAGCCCAGAGAACACACUUAUGGUACCAAAAUGCUGUUGCACUAUAGCACGGUGCCCUUCCUGGAGGCAAAGCAGUGACAGGCAUUCUACCUCGCAAUCCUAACGUUUGUAGAGAUAAGAACACAGAUUUGCUCUUCCAGCUGUACUGGCACUAGGAUCAGCUGCUGGCAUGUCACGUUGGUAGUGAUGCCUUAUGUCCUCAAGGGACUGAUAUUUUUGUUGGUGACAAGGACAGUAGAACCGAGCACAUCCUCAGCAAUUUUACCGACUUAAUCGAGUGGUGUGGUUGAUAUGCUGCAGGAAAGGGCUGCCAUCCACAGGUCCUGGACAGGCUCAAGAAAACUUCAGAAAGUUCAACAGGGCCAAGUGUGAAGCCCCACAGCCAGCUCGGGGUAAUUCCAAGCACAAGCAUAGGCUGGGUGGAGAGCAGGUUGGGAGCAGCCCUGAGGAGAAAGACUGGGGUUCCAGUGGAUGAAAAGCUGGUCAUGAGCCAGCAGUGUGUGACUGCAGCCCAGAAGGCCAACUGUAUCCCGGGCUGCAUCAAAAGCAGCAUGACCAGCAGGGAGAGAGAGGUGACUGUUCUUCUCUCCUCUAUCCUCUUGAGGCCCCAUAUGAAGUACUGCACCCAGGGUGCUCAACACAGGAAAGAUGUGGAGCUGUAGGAGCAGGUCCAGAGAAGGCCAGGAGGAUGGUCAGAGGGCUGCAGCACCUCUCCUACAAGAAAGGCUGAGGGAGCUGGGACUGUUCAGUCUGGAGGAAAAAAAAGGCUCUGGGGAGACCUCACUGUGGCCUUCCAGUACAUAUAGGGGCUUUACAGUAAAGCUGGAGAAGGACUAUUUAUCAGGGAGUAUAGUGAUAGAGCAAGAGGUAAAGGCUUUAAACUGGAAAAUGGCAGAUUUAGGCUAGGUGUUAGAAGGAAAUUCUUCACUCAGAGGGCAGUGAGGCCCUGGUACCGCUGCCCAGAGAAGCUGGGUUAUGCCCCAUCCCUGGAGGUGCUGAAGGUACGGUUGGAUGGGGCUCUGGGCAGCCUGAGCUGCUGGGUGGCAGACCUGCCCAUGGCAGUGGCUUGGAUCGAGAUGGUCUUUAAGGUCCAGUCCAAUCCAAACCAUUCUGUAACUCCUCAGAGUAAACAGCCUCAGUAUGAGCUCUUCACCCCAAUCUCUACCAAGAGGUUUUUCUCCAGAUUUGAACCAGGCUUGCCCCUCAGAUCUAUCCAGCUUUGAAUGCACUAGUGUCAAGUCUUGUUCUGAAAAUUAAAAAAGAUCAGUGGAAGCAAGAGCAGGAAACUGGAACGAGCUAAGAUAUCCACGAAGCUUAGCACAGUUCAGCAAACAGCUGAUUGUUAACAGUUACAUAUAAUGUACUGACAGUCAAGCCACAAGAGCAAAUGAGAUGUAAGUGAUCUGCACCAAGCUGCACUUGUAGCUGGAAAUCACUCUUUUAACCACCACCCCACUUCUUUGUAGUCAAGUUAUAUAUCAAAAGACCUUCUGGGCUGUUUGUGUGCACACAUGGAUCGGUGGCAGGACAAGUUUCUCAGUUCUCUUUAACAUUUUACACGUGGAUGUAAAUUGAACUCUUUCACAAAGUAAUUACAGUUGUUAUUUACUAAGAAGGAACUAAGAAAACAAAUUUGUUGAUAGUUUAUUCUGGAUUUUAUUAUAACUACACAGAUAUUACUUAAAAAUUAUUAGGAGGUACAGCUACACCAAAGGUUACUUUCAGUAACAGAGAUUUCCCUACCAUGUAGAUCUCUCGACAGCCAUGUCCCAACAGGCUCUAAAUCGCUCAUACACAUACCGAGUACUGUUCAAAGCAGACUUGCUUUCAGCAAGAUUAAAUACCUGUUCAGUUUGAACUGUCCCAGUGCCAGGACAAACUACAACUCAACCAGUUCAGACAGCCACCCCACCAGGCACCAAUGGCCUCUGCAACUCCCAGCACCCCAGAUCUGCUGCUUCUGGGAUUUCUGCCAGGAGCUGUGGGGUAGCUCUCCGCUGAGGACAUUGCAAAUUAAAUAUUCUAGAAGUGUGCUUGUGUUUACGUGGAGCGAGGCUGCAACAGUUCAGAAUAUGAGUCAGUACGGUUUGCAUCUACGGAACUGAGCAGCACAGUUAGAAACAGUGCAUUUUCGAGGAAGCGGGGGGUGUGAAACAGUUCACCCAGGGGAACAGUCAGGCUGCACCUGGCAGGAGCCAGCACUCACCUGGAGACAGCAAUUUGCUCCAGUACCUCACUGCUCCAGAGCCCACGAUUUUCCCAUAGUAAUGUCAGAAGUUUCUGCACAGGAGAGGCACUUUGGUCCUGCCUGUAUCGGGGAGGCUAACAACGGUACAGCCAGACAGGCUGACAGGCAUGCACACCCACAGUGUGGCUCCGAGCCUUACUUUUUUGCCUUGCUUAAAGUGGAAGCUGAAAUAUAGUUCUGAUCAGAACAGCAAAGAAAAAAAGUUAAAAGCAGCUCGAUUAGUUAACGCCACAGCAUCCAAUAAAGUCCUCGGAUGGAAAAGCAGAGCAGAACUGAAGAAGAGCAGCCUGUCCCCGUGCGUCUCACCAUGCUGGUACUUAUGGCCAGGUGCGUUUUAAGGCCAGCACCCCUUCAUCGAGGCACAGCAGAACAGCGUGCCCUCCCAGGGAGCCCUUCUGGCAGCCGUUGGAGCACACAGCCGCUGAGCACACCAGAGGAGCACCGCUGUCUCUCAGGGAUCUGAUGCAGGACGGUUCCUCUGCAAACACAGCUGGAGCCCCUGGCUGCCCCGUGCACACGGCUGUGGGACAGCACAUCUCAGCUCCGGCCACGCUUCAGCUCCCAGAGCACAGCAGCCCACACAAAAAGCUGCGUACGGCUCCGUUGUCGCAAACCUUAGCCGUGCGAAAUCUGUCGAGACGUUCCCAUCCUGAAGCGGCUUUUGUUUUCAUUUUGAACAGAAAAGAUUAAGACAACCACAAGCUGAGAACACUUUUCGGUAUGAUACAGUUCGCUCUGCUUCUCAGGAAGCACGCGAUCCAAGCAGGGCAGCUCACACCGGUAGCUCAGAGCGCACACCGGUGCGGGACGCUGAGCGGGAACGGGGCUACCACAGCGCUGACAGCUCCCGAUCACCCACAAAAGCACCGCAACCAAGCGGCUAACUUGCACUUCCCAUCCGCACCCCCAGCCCCGGGCUGCUGCCCCCCGCCGAGUAAUAAACCUGAGCACAGCUGAUCUUCGCGAGACCGCUUAAAUCUCUCUUAAGAGAGCCAUAAUCCGCCAUCACGUGCAGCAUUAAGGAGCAUUACGAGUAAAACAGAUCCCGAGGUGUCAGUAAGCAGCCGGCUGCGGCGCCGGGCACCGCGCUCGCCGCUACCCGUAGCACGCCCUGCCCAAGCGCUUCCGCGCACCACGAACACGAACCUCAGCACCGCGAUAAAGGCUCUUUCUUCACACCACACGUGCGCGCCGCCGUCGCCUUUCUCCAGCUGAAAGCGGGAUCAGAACUCUGGGCCGGCCCAACCGCCCGAGCCCGGCGCCGUCGGGAAGCGCCCAGCGCGGGCGGCAGAUAAAAAAGGCGGCAGCUUCUCACUGGAACCACCAAGGAAUUUUGAUCCUGUAAAAAAUGCCCUAUAAAAUGGGCCUGAGAGGGCUGUCUGAGUGGGGGAAAGUGCAAUUGGAUGUUACAUUUGCUUUUGUUGUGAUUGAUGUGACUCUGUCCGAUUUAUUUUCAAAUAUCAGAAUGGGUUCUGGAUGGAACUCUUGCAACCAAAACCUGUGAUCCAUUUGCCAAGAGCUGUUUUUACUCCAGUUGAGAACCGAUUUGUCUGGAUUUUGCCUUAGGCACAGUCCUUACCAUCUUCUGCCAGAGAUUUUUUCCCCCUGCAGACUUAAUCCAGGAUCCAGAUACAUGAUUGUUUAAAAUUUACAUUUAAAAAGGAGUAAAAGAUUGAUUGGAAUUCCAGGGGAGGAGAGGGAGGCAUGAUGAUAUAUUGGAAUCUUUUGUUCCCAGAAGAACCAGGAAAGAAUUAAGAUUAUUAAAGAAAUGUAAUUUGGGUCAGACCAAGCAUCUAAAUCCACAUCAGUUAAAAAGAUGAUUUUCCCUACAUUUUUAAUGUGUUUGACACAAGCGUGUUUGAUUUAUGAUGGGAGUCAAAACCAUCUGUAUUUGGGGAACAAGCACAUACUUAUUUAAACAAUGGGGCUGCCUGGGGGGAGACAUAGGAAAGAAAUGACAUUCUUUUGCAAAGAAUUCGGUGUUUUUCACUCCAUGAAGUAACUGGCACUGGUUUGAAAAGUGCUCUGCAGCAGGAACAGUAGCUCAACCUAUCUUAAAGGAGUCCAGCAGUUUACCUUUAUGCAAUUGGUAUGAUAGUGAACAAUGUUAUCACUGAUAAAGCUCUGCUAUUCCCUACUUUCCUUUCAGUGACCCCUGUGAAGAGAAUUGGUCUCAUUGGGCACCACUGAAAAGAGCCUGGCCCCAUUCAUUGGACUCCCUCCCUUCAGAUAUUAGGGACUUGUUCUAACUGCAGAUGAGGCUGAAGCAAAGGAACCGUUUCCUGAACAUGUCCUCAGCUCUCAUCUUGUGCUGAAAUAGUUUAUUUGAAGUUUUUCAGGGAAGAAGUGUUGAGGGCUAUCAGGAUGACAUCUACAGCGUUAAGUUCUAGCCUGUGCUGGGUGGAGAUUCCAUUCUGUAACCAGAUGCUGUGCUCCAUAUGGAUUGAUAUGAUUAGAAACAGGCUUGGAAAUAACAUUUAACUUUACCAGUCAGCUUCCCAGAGCUCCGUAAGCCAUGUGAAUGGAUGUUGUGCCCGCUGCUUCCUUUAAAUGCAUAACCUUGAAUCCAAGCAUCCCUGCACUUAGGGGACCUUCUUGGCAAGCUGUGGAACUGAUCUCCAAAGCUCAACACAGUCGAUAUCCCAUGACAAAGAUGUGCCUCACUGUAAAGCCCAGUGUAAACUAUGAACGUCAACAAAGGGGCCAGAGGAGAGACAGAAAUAUGUCUGCCCCUGCAAGGUUUCCACAUACGGAGAAAGCAGAAAGUAACAAUCUGCAUUUCAGCUGCUUUUCUAAAUGAAUGUAUUCAACCAUGUGGCGGGCCGGUAGCUUUCUCUUCCUGUGUGAGGCUAUGCCAAACUCGAGCGAGGAAGCCCAGGGUCUUUUAAAAGAAGGUGAGAAAAACUCAAUGGCAAGUGUAGAAUUUUAGAAAAGAGCCAAAGCCUCUGUCCACCCUCAGAAGAGCAGAACGACAGAGCUCUGGCAGCCACUGCAGCCACCACCGAUUUAUUUACGAGUUCCUGGAGUCGAUCCAGUGUAAUUAUGGGCCUGAACUCCAGAUCAGAUUCACUUGACAUUUGAGAAAGUCUGUGGAAAAACAGUAAUAAUAAACUGAUAAUAACCAUCCGUCUCGUAAGCAAUGAGAAAUAAAGGGAAGAGAAAGGGCAGGUGGGGAGAGGGGAAGGCAGCAUAAUCCCCAAAAGAUCUCCUGUUUGUCAGGAGAUACUCUCAGUGUACAACCCUGUGUAUUUUCUAGAAAGAGCUGCAGAGAAUUUUGGAGUAAGUCCUGAAUCAUGUCAAUGCUUUUGCUAUUACUGCACUGGAAAAAAUGAAGAUGGUGGGUGCAGAGGAAGCUGGGAUAAGUUGGGACGGCAGUUUCUCUUGGUGGAGCAGAUAGUUUGUGGCCCACAUGGCAUUUAUCCGAGCGUGCUCAUCACCUAAAUUACGUUACCAUGAAACCGUUGGCUUUGGAAAAAGAUGUUUGAAGAAACUAUGCUUCGGCGUUUGAUUUAUUUUCAAAUUCAUGCACUGAGUAGAAAUAGGCUUUGUUUGUAUUGUACUUUAUUGCAAGUCUCUCAUUCUGCCAGUUCAUAUCAUCGGUAUAACACGGAUGAGUAUUAGGGUUAAAAAUAUUUGUAUUUAAAACAUCUGCAGUCUUAUAUCAGGAUUUAUAUCCCAUUGUUUGAUCCUUCCCAUCUGAAUCACCCCGUAUUGUUUCCUAUUGAAUUGCUGGGAGAUGGCCUCACAAAGCAAACUCUCUGGGAGGUUUCCAGAAAAAAAAUAUUUUUCAAGUAAGAUAAGUUGAUUAAUUCUGCUGAAUGGAAAAGGCUUCUUCUAUGACAAGAAAGAGGCCUGACAUUUAGUUUACAGUUGUCUCAAGUAUUUUAUUUCAGGUGAUGGAAUUGAAUUGCAAGUUAUGAGUGAAUGUUUAAUGAAGCAAGAAGAGUUACGUUUGUGCUACAUCCAAACAGCAUUUGGUGAGUUUUCCUUAUGUCAGGUUUCAGGGCGUAUUAACUACGUAUGCAAAGAUACAACAGAGCCCAUAUAUGUCAAUAGGUUUUCUCAGAGGGAGCAUUCCAGUUAGUUGCUCUCAUCAGACAACAACCAAAUGUCGAGUGCCCUGGCAAUCAACACCGAGCGCCGUAACACUAGACGGUAUCUGAAGGAAAAGGAAUCCUGGGUGGAUGAAUGGGGUUAGUGGCCCAGAACAUGUCAUCUUCAAGUGACCUGCUUCGCCACACUCACGUAACUUCUCAGGAACACCUCCCUUGCAACAUGGGCAGUGUAGCUCCAGUUGUGAAGGAGAAAGGAUAUCGAAAAAGGAACAGCCACAGCUGUAUGCAGAACAAUGAAUGCGCACUUCUUUGAGCUCAGUCUCUGUGAACUGCACACGUUGGUUGUUCAGCCCGUUCUUCCUGAUCUGACAAUGGUAUCAAUUUUUUUCUGCUUAGGAACAUUUCUAGAAUUGUAGUUCUAUGUUAUUUAAAGCUUUUUUUUUUUUUUUUUUUAAUUUUACAUUGACUUUUUAUUUAACUUUAAUUGACAUUUACUUAACAGUUCAGGUUACUGUGUUAUUUCUGUAUGCUUUGAUAUUUUCUUCUAUAAAUAUACAUCUCAUAGGUCUUGAGGAGGAGACUUAACAGUCUGGAGAUCUGGUGUAAGGUCAGUAACAAAAUGUAAUACACAGGAAUGCAAUAUAUUUUUUUCCUCUUACCUACCAUGCAUCUGGUUUUCACAGACAGGCCCUUUUCUUGGUCCUGGUAUUUCAUAGGAGCAGAAUGCUGACAGUUGUCUGGGACAGCCUGACCAGAAUAGCAGCUCAGCCUGAGCUGUUGGAUACCUAGAGAUCCCAGACACAUUCACCAUGCACAGCAGAUCAGCCCCACAGAGUAUGCAGUACUUCCACAGAAUUAGAACUUUGGAGCAUAUGUUGCCCAGAUGAACUGCACAACGCGUGGUAAACCCACUUACUGUGUGAAGUCAGACUAACCAUAUAAUUUAUGCACUAUACAUGUGAUGCACUGACAUGCUGGCCUCACAGUUAUCUUCUAUUCUGCAUAUGUAUAUGACUUCCACUGAGUAUUUCCUGGGCAUGAAGUGACUGUCUUUUUAUUUCCUUGCUUGUAUAUAUCGCAUGAUGAGACGCUGCUACUUGGAAAUAACUAAUUUUUGUUUGGGAUCAGCUCAUGAAAUUCUGCAAGGCUUUGUUGUAGAUGGUCGGCUGUGUUUGCAUCCAAACCACUGAACUCAGCGGAAUGUUGGAGCACAGCACUAUUGGAGGCACACUGAAUAAAGCUUUCAACUACUGACAGCAUCUGAAGAACAUCAGGAAAAUGCUGAAAGCCUAGAAAUCUGUGGCCUAUGUGGCUCCAUAGGCAGCUCUGGGCACUACUCAGAGAUCCAGUAAUAUUCAAAGAUUCCAGUGAUAUUCCAGCAUGAAGCCGUGCCUUGGUGUCUUCAGCUGGCGCUAGAACUGCCUAGCAAGUAAUAUAAUAGCUGGAGGAAAAAAAAAUGGUGUAAUGCAGCAUGGCAACAAAUCUCUCUUCACUAAUACGUUCCGAAGAAUGGCUGCUGAAGCUGGGGAUGACCAAGGGAGCACCGAGUGCCUGGGAGAAUCUCUGCAGAGUAGUUGCAUUGCUGUGAACUCCACCAUGCUGCUGGAAUAGAAAGGAAGAGCCAGAUCAGAAGCAGUCACACAGGAGAAGGUUUCUGAAAGCCCAGUGGGCUUUAUGUCAUGAGAAGGUCACGAGCAGUGAGCUGUCAAACUGUGCAUUGAGGCCUUACUUCUGCUGUAAAGUUAUGGCUGUAUUACUGUACCAGAAGAGAUCACUGUUCCUGGGCAUAUGCAAGCAAACUCUUCACAUCACCAGACAUCAUUGGAAGUCUGAACAGCACACUGAAUUUCCAGCUUUGUGGCUUCUAUGAUUGAUUAAAAAGACACUCACAACCUGUGAAGAUUAAAUAACUUUAAAAUGAAUAUGAAAUACAUUUUGUAUCCUUAUAUUGAUGAAACUACUUCUGGAAAUAAAGAGAUUUAAUUUAGUACUUUUUGUUUCUUGUGCAAAUUGUGGUAUCCCUAUCAAUGUAUGUCUUAUUAGACAACUAGUUACAACAUUUUUUCAUAGAAUCAAUGCAAAAUUCAAGGAAUAUCAUAAGAAAGGGAAGUCUAGUCUUCUGCUCAAAACAGGACUAGCUUCAAUAUUAGGUCAGGUUGCUCUGGGUUUUGUCUAGUUGAGUUAUGAGUACUUGCCAGAAUGGUCUCCACAAGU